CCCUUAGAUGUUCGGGGCCGCACGCGCGCUACACUGAAGGAAUCAGCACGUCUUUCUCCUUGUCCGAAAGGACUGGGUAACCCGCUGAACCUCCUUCGUGCUAGGGAUUGGGGCUUGUAAUUCUUCCCCAUGAACGGGGAAUUCCCAGUAAGCGCGAGUCAUAAGCUCGCGUUGAUUACGUCCCUGCCCUUUGUACACACCGCCCGUCGCUACUACCGAUUGGAUGGUUUAGUGAGAUCCUCGGAUUGGUCCCGGAGCGGCCUCUGGUCGUGCCGGAGUGCCGAAAAGAAUGUCGAACUUGAUCAUCUAGAGGAAGUAAAAGUCGUAACA
rnacentral:rRNA from 1 species